UACGUAGGGAGCAAGCGUUGUUCGGAUUUACUGGGCGUAAAGGGCGCGUAGGCGGCGCGGUAAGUCACUUGUGAAAUCUCUGAGCUUAACUCAGAACGGCCAAGUGAUACUGCAGUGCUAGAGUGCAGAAGGGGCAAUCGGAAUUCUUGGUGUAGCGGUGAAAUGCGUAGAUAUCAAGAGGAACACCUGAGGUGAAGACGGGUUGCUAGGCUGACACUGACGCUGAGGCGCGAAAGCCAGGGGAGUAAACGGG
rnacentral:rRNA from 1 species